AAUCUACUCCCUCCGUUCGGAAUUACUUGUCACAAAAAUGGAUGUAUCUACAACUAAAAUACAUCUAGAUACAUUCAUUUCUUGGACAAGUAAUUCCGAACGGAGGGAGUAAGUA
rnacentral:pre_miRNA from 1 species